rnacentral:rRNA from 1 species
GAUGAACGCUGGCGGCGUGCCUAAUACAUGCAAGUCGAGCGAACGGACGAGAAGCUUGCUUCUCUGAUGUUAGCGGCGGACGGGUGAGUAACACGUGGAUAACCUACCUAUAAGACUGGGAUAACUUCGGGAAACCGGAGCUAAUACCGGAUAAUAUUUUGAACCGCAUGGUUCAAAAGUGAAAGACGGUCUUGCUGUCACUUAUAGAUGGAUCCGCGCUGCAUUAGCUAGUUGGUAAGGUAAUGGCUUACCAAGGCAACGAUGCAUAGCCGACCUGAGAGGGUGUUCGGCCACACUGGAACUGAGACACGGUCCAGACUCCUACGGGAGGCAGCAGUAGGGAAUCUUCCGCAAUGGGCGAAAGCCUGACGGAGCAACGCCGCGUGAGUGAUGAAGGUCUUCGGAUCGUAAAACUCUGUUAUUAGGGAAGAACAUAUGUGUAAGUAACUGUGCACAUCUUGACGGUACCUAAUCAGAAAGCCACGGCUAACUACGUG